rnacentral:rRNA from 1 species
GACGAACGCUGGCGGCGUGCUUAACACAUGCAAGUCGAACGGAAAGGCCCUGCUUUUGUGGGGUGCUCGAGUGGCGAACGGGUGAGUAACACGUGAGUAACCUGCCCUUGACUUUGGGAUAACUUCAGGAAACUGGGGCUAAUACCGGAUAGGAGCUCCUGCUGCAUGGUGGGGGUUGGAAAGUUUCGGCGGUUGGGGAUGGACUCGCGGCUUAUCAGCUUGUUGGUGGGGUAGUGGCUUACCAAGGCUUUGACGGGUAGCCGGCCUGAGAGGGUGACCGGCCACAUUGGGACUGAGAUACCGCCCAGACUCCUACGGGAGGCAGCAGUGGGGAAUAUUGCACAAUGGGCGGAAGCCUGAUGCAGCAACGCCGCGUGCGAGAUGACGGCCUUCGGGUUGUAAACCGCUUUCGCCUGUGACGAAGCGUGAUUGACGGUAAUGGGUAAAGAAGCACCGGCUAAAUACGUG